UACAGAGGGUGCAAGCGUUAAUCGGAAUUACUGGGCGUAAAGCGUGCGUAGACGGUUGCGUAAGUCAGAUGUGAAAGCCCCGGGCUCAACCUGGGAAUUGCAUUUGAGACUGCGUAGCUAGGGUGCGGAAGAGGGAAGCGGAAUUUCCGGUGUAGCGGUGAAAUGCUUAGAUAUGACACAGAACACCGAUUGCGAAGGCAGCUCACUAAACUGUAACUGACGCUGAGGCACGAAAGCGUGGGGAGCAAACAGG
rnacentral:rRNA from 1 species